UUAGAGGUUGAAUUACAAGAAAGCUCUCUCUAUCGUUAGCAUUAACAGCCAGCGCUACACCGAGCAUAGUCAUCAUCAGCAUCUCUCUUACUCUCUAGGAAACAAUCCUCGACUCUGAAUAGUGGCUUAGCCCGCUGGUUACAUUUAUUAGGUGCUUUUAAUCCACUGCAGUGGAGAACAGAGCCAGCAUAACCUCUGUCUAAACAUUCACGUCACAUCUUUGGAUCUUUUUUUUGUGUGUGUGCGUGUGUGUGUGUUCAAACUUAAACAACGGCUACAGAUAUCAUUAUAGAGGAUGGUAGUAAACAUCCAACAAACCGUGGUUUUAACACAUCGAGGUCAUGUGUCAUUUUUUUGUUUUUGUGUGCUGAGGUAAAGCUGUGCACUGUAAAACCUUGGCAUAAUUCAUGUGAUCUUGGAUUGAAUUCUUUAAAAAAAAAAAAAAAUUCCCUUUUGGGCAUGUCGA